CCCCUAGAUGUUCUGGGCCGCACGCGCGCUACACUGAACAGUUCAACAAGUCUUAACCUUGGCCGAUAGGUCUGGGUAAUCUUUGAACGCUGUUCGUGAUUGGGAUAGACCUUUGCAAUUAUGGGUCUUCAACGAGGAAUUCCUAGUAAACGCAAGUCAUCAGCUUGCAUUGAUUACGUCCCUGCCCUUUGUACACACCGCCCGUCGCUGCAACUGAUUGGGUGACCUGGUGAAUAUCUUGGACCGAUAUCCUCGGAAACGGGGCUGUUGGAAAAGGACGUGAAUCAGGUACAUCUAGAAAUUGCAAAAGUCGUAACA
rnacentral:rRNA from 1 species